CCUACGGGUGGCAGCAGUGAGGAAUAUUGGUCAAUGGGCGGAAGCCUGAACCAGCCAAGUCGCGUGAGGGAUUAAGGCCCUGCGGGUCGUAAACCUCUUUUGCCGGGGAGCAGAGGUCCGGACGUGACCGGGCCGGGAGAGUACCCGGAGAAACAGCAUCGGCUAACUCCGUGCCAGCAGCCGCGGUAAUACGGAGGAUGCGAGCGUUAUCCGGAUUUAUUGGGUUUAAAGGGUGCGUAGGCGGGCAUUUAAGCCGGCGGUCAAAUGUCGGGGCUCAACCUCGGAAUUGCCUCUGAUACUGUUCGGCUAGAGAGUAGUUGCGGUAGGCGGAAUGUAUGGUGUAGCGGUGAAAUGCUUAGAGAUCAUACAGAACACCGAUUGCGAAGGCAGCUUACCAAGCUACUUCUGACGUUGAGGCACGAAAGCGUGGGGAGCAAACAGGAUUAGAUACCCUUGUAGUC
rnacentral:rRNA from 1 species